CCAGACUCCUACGGGAGGCAGCAGUGGGGAAUAUUGCACAAUGGGGGGAACCCUGAUGCAGCGACGCCGCGUGGGUGAAGGAGUAUUUCGGUAUGUAAAGCCCUAUCAGCAGGGAAGAACAAUGACGGUACCUGACUAAGAAGCACCGGCUAAAUACGUGCCAGCAGCCGCGGUAAUACGUAUGGUGCAAGCGUUAUCCGGAUUUACUGGGUGUAAAGGGAGCGCAGACGGCGAUGCAAGCCAGGAGUGAAAGCCCGGGGCCCAACCCCGGGACUGCUCUUGGAACUGCGUGGCUGGAGUGCAGGAGGGGCAGGCGGAAUUCCUGGUGUAGCGGUGAAAUGCGUAGAUAUCAGGAGGAACACCGGUGGCGAAGGCGGCCUGCUGGACUGCAACUGACGUUGAGGCCCGAAAGCGUGGGGAGCAAACAGGAUUAGAUACCCCCGUA
rnacentral:rRNA from 1 species